GUCCGACUCUCCAUCACCACUAUAUGAAAACCGUUACAAACAGUUGGAACCCAUCAACAAGGGUGUGCUGGCCAGGCUAACUGACUGUCUAUUGUGUCGGUGGUCGUGUCGCUCAUGUCUGUUGUGGUGUUGGGAGUGCUGCUUUCCACCCAGUGAUGAGGAGGUGGAGAUACUGGGACCCUUCCCUGCUCAGA